rfam:Coprinopsis cinerea okayama7#130 chromosome 4 cont3.4, whole genome shotgun sequence.
GCAUCAAUGGGGUAGUGGUAACCUGGAUCGUUGCCAUUGAUAAGGCUACGUGCUAGCUUGACUCGAUCCGCCGGGGGUUCGAUUCCCCCUUGAUGCA